AAACCCACGUGCAGCAGCCCAUUCUUUCUUUCUUUCCUCUCUUCUUUCUUUUCUUUCUCUUUUCUCUUUCCCCUCUUCUCACGUACACACACCACACCGUAUGAGAGAGAGAGAGAACGAGCUAGAGAGAGAGAGAGCUGCAGAUUGAGAGAGGAAGAGAUGCAGACCGAGCUAGAGAGAGAAUGAGACCGAAUGAGAGAGAGAGCUGCUGUCCGAAGAAGAUGAAAGAGGAAGAAAGAAGAAGAAGAAGAAGAAGAAGAAGAAGAAGAAGAAGGUGAUGGAUUCCGGCCAUGGGGUUAGUGAGGCGUGUAAUGUGAUAUUGGAGGCUUAGGACUACAUCUAGUCUUCCAAUGUGUGGUAUGGGUAAUCGGAUUGAUGGAGCACUUCGAAAGGAUUACUUGAGUCGUGAGUCAUUUGUAGGCUACAAGGUGAUGUUGUGAAUGCAGGUACAUAGACAGUAGAUGAGGAUCUUGUAGCCUUGUUUUUGGGCGACGUCGGAGGUCUAGAUGCGUGGGAGGUUUACUAUGUUGGACUAGUUGUUAGUCCUCUUUGUUAGAGCAUUCAAGGAUAUGCUUAGAUGUUGGCAUUUGGUAUAUGGCUCGUGUCGCAUGUGACACUUUUGUAUAGCCAUUAUUUUGUAUGUAAGACUUUAUUCACAUAGAUGUAUUAGUCAGCUCUAAUGUGUUAUGUAAGUGUCAUGUUAUUUAUAAUCCGCUGCAAAGAUAUGAACUCUGAUGAAUCAUUGAUAAUGCAUAUAGCUCUGUGUGGCAUAUUAAACUGUCAAUCAGGUUAAUGCAUGGGUUCGUGGCAUACUGCGGUAUUGCCAUGCCACUGUGACAA